UCGUCCCUUUGAAAUACUACAAUUGAUUGCUUUGUACUCCGACUCCGAUCACCAUCAGUGUUUCUAAGCCUUCGCCGGACUAUGCCGGAGCAAGUAUAACUAGGUAUACUUAGUUGGGAUUCAAAAACAUUUAGGCUGAACUCUCAGUAACGUUUCAUACUUCCACUUGGUUACUCUAUUUUGGCAUUUUCCACAUAAAACAAUUAUUCUUAGCUCUUGCUACGGUUGAUCUAUUUUCCAGAUCUCACUCAAUUGAGCUACGCCCUUGGUUUUUCAUCUUCUGGGUUUUAAUUUGCUGAAAAUCUUUGCUCAAUCAGAAGCGUUGAAGUUAGGGUUCCGUCAAUCCAUUGGGAAAGUUUUUUUCAGAGAGCGUUGAGUGCUACCGGAGUUUCAUCACGUCGCAACAUUGGAUUUUAAGUUGCGUUGACGGCGAACGAAAGAAAACAGUGUUGGUUUCCGAAAUGGAGUUGAGUUGAAACGGGUGCACGAUUGUUGGAGUUUUCGUCCAAGGCGCAGUCCGUUGGUUUGGUGCGAGUUGAAUUUUCUGUUUUGAACCCCAUUACUAGCUGCGUUAUUCUGUCCAUUGACGGCUCAAAAUUAUAUUAAUUCAGGUCCAUCACUUUUAUACCGUCUAUUAAUCCAUUGAUACACUUUGUAUUCCCCUAAGUUCGAACUUGCAUUUAUAUUCUUGCUUAGCUUCAUUGUUACCUUGUUUAGUUUGGGUUGGGGAAAUAAUCCAUAAAAUUGGAAUUGGCUUUCGGCGAUAAAUUUGAAUCAUGCUUAAUAUCAUUUUGUUUUAUUCUUAUUAUUUUAGUCGCUAGAAGCAUGCUUAGACCGACUACACUUGGGUAGGAAAAAUUUAGGAAUUUUUUUCAAUUUUGAGGCGAGAGGUCGCUCCCUUAGUUAAAUAUAUCUGGGGAAUGCCCCAAAGAAUUUGUACAUAUUUUAUUUCGGGGAAUGCCCCGUAGUAUUUUGUAAGUGAAGGAUGUGACGAAUAUCAUAGAGGAAGUAGCGUAGGAUAAUUUCGGACUUUAAUUUUUCUUCUUUUAAGUUUCUUUUCUUUAGUGGGGACGACCUCAAGCCUCUUGUGUGUUUAUUUUUCUUUUUCUGUAUUUUCUAUCUCAAUUGAAUAUAUUAAAGUCCGACUAGAUCAAGUACUCAACCGUACUAUCUACGGGACUUGGAGAGUGCCUAACACCGUAUCCCCGAGU
rnacentral:lncRNA from 1 species